rnacentral:rRNA from 1 species
UACAGAGGUCUCAAGCGUUGUUCGGAUUCAUUGGGCGUAAAGGGUGCGUAGGUGGCGCUGUAAGUCAGGUGUGAAAUUUCGGAGCUUAACUCCGAAACUGCAUUUGAUACUGCGGUGCUUGAGGACUGGAGAGGAGACUGGAAUUUACGGUGUAGCGGUGAAAUGCGUAGAUAUCGUAAGGAAGACCAGUGGCGAAGGCGGGUCUCUGGACAGUUCCUGACGCUGAGGCACGAAGGUCAGGGGAGCAAACGGG